rnacentral:sRNA from 1 species
UUUGGUAGAGACGGGGUUUUGCCAUGUUGGCCACGCUGGUCUCGAACUCCUGACCUCAGUUGGUUGACAGGACUAGGAUUGUGAUUGUCCCUUCUCUAAAUCCAGAUGGGCGAGAGAGAGCUCAAGAGAAAGACUGUACUUCAAAAAUAGGACAAACAAAUGCUCGUGGCAAAGAUUUGGAUACAGACUUCACAAAUAAUGCCUCCCAACCUGAGACUAAAGCCAUCAUUGAAAAUUUGAUUCAAAAACAGGACUUUAGUCUUUCUGUUGCCUUAGAUGGUGGUUCCAUGCUGGUCACAUAUCCUUAUGACAAGCCAGUACAGACAGUGGAAAAUAAAGAGACUCUGAAGCAUUUGGCAUCUCUUUAUGCAAAUAAUCAUCCAUCCAUGCACAUGGGUCAGCCCAGUUGCCCAAAUAAAUCAGAUGAGAAUAUUCCAGGAGGAGUAAUGCGUGGAGCAGAAUGGCAUAGUCACCUGGGCAGCAUGAAGGAUUAUAGUGUCACCUAUGGCCAUUGUCCGGAAAUCACAGUAUACACAAGCUGCUGUUACUUUCCUAGUGCUGCACGACUCCCUUCC